CUCCGGUUGAUCCCGCCGGACCCGACUGCUAUCGGAUUGAGAUUUAGCCAUGCGAGUCGAACGUCCCCCUGUUGCGGGGGGCGUGGCGUACGGCUCAGUAACACGUAGUCAACCUGCCCUGGAGACAAGGACAACCCCGGGAAACUGGGAUUAAUCCUUGAUAGGUCAUCUCAUCUGGAAGGAGAGAUGGCUUAAAGGGGUACGCGGGCUUCUUCCGCGAAUCUGCUCCAGGAUGGGACUGCGUCCGAUCAGGCUGUUGGCGGGGUAAUGGCCCACCAAACCUGUAACCGGUACGGGCCUUGAGAGAGGUGGCCCGGAGAUGGACACUGAGAGAAGGGUCCAGGUCCUACGGGGCGCAGUAGGCGCGAAACCUUCGCAAUGCGCGAAAGCGUGACGAGGUUAAUCCGAGUGACUCCCGCUGAGGGGGUCUUUUGUCAGCUGUAAAUAGGCAGGCGAAUAAGGGGAGGGCAAGCCUGGUGUCAGCCGCCGCGGUAAUACCAGCACCUCGAGUGGUCAGGACGUUUAUUGGGCCUAAAGCAUCCGUAGCCGGCUUUGCAAGUCUCCGGUUAAAUCCACCUGCUCAACAGAUGGGCUGCUGGAGAUACUACAAAGCUAGGGAGUGGGAGAGGCAGACGGUAUUCAGUGGGUAGGGGUAAAAUCCUCUGAUCCAUCGAGGACCACCAGUGGCGAAGGCGGUCUGCCAGAACACGUUCGACGGUGAGGGAUGAAAGCUGGGGGAGCAAACCGGAUUAGAUACCCGGGUAGUCCCAGCUGUAAACGAUGCAAACUCGGUGAUGCAUUGGCUUAUGGCCAAUGCAGUGCCGCAGGGAAGCCGUUAAGUUUGCCGCCUGGGAAGUACGGACGCAAGUCUGAAACUUAAAGGAAUUGGCGGGGGAGCA
rnacentral:rRNA from 1 species